GACGAACGCUGGCGGCGUGCCUAAUACAUGCAAGUAGAACGCUGAAGGAGGAGCUUGCUCUUCUGGAUGAGUUGCGAACGGGUGAGUAACGCGUAGGUAACCUGCCUGGUAGCGGGGGAUAACUAUUGGAAACGAUAGCUAAUACCGCAUAAGAGUAGAUGUCGCAUGACAUUUGCUUAAAAGGUGCAAUUGCAUCACUACCAGAUGGACCUGCGUUGUAUUAGCUAGUUGGUGAGGUAACGGCUCACCAAGGCAACGAUACAUAGCCGACCUGAGAGGGUGAUCGGCCACACUGGGACUGAGACACGGCCCAGACUCCUACGGGAGGCAGCAGUAGGGAAUCUUCGGCAAUGGACGGAAGUCUGACCGAGCAACGCCGCGUGAGUGAAGAAGGUUUUCGGAUCGUAAAGCUCUGUUGUAAGAGAAGAACGAGUGUGAGAGUGGAAAGUUCACACUGUGACGGUAUCUUACCAGAAAGGGACGGCUAACUACGUGCCAGCAGCCGCGGUAAUACGUAGGUGGCAAGCGUUAUCCGGAUUUAUUGGGCGUAAAGAGAGUGCAGGCGGUUUUCUAAGUCUGAUGUGAAAGCCUUCGGCUUAACCGGAGAAGUGCAUCGGAAACUGGAUAACUUGAGUGCAGAAGAGGGUAGUGGAACUCCAUGUGUAGCGGUGGAAUGCGUAGAUAUAUGGAAGAACACCAGUGGCGAAGGCGGCUACCUGGUCUGCAACUGACGCUGAGACUCGAAAGCAUGGGUAGCGAACAGG
rnacentral:rRNA from 1 species